UACGAGAGGCCCAAGCGUUAUUCGGAAUUACUGGGCUUAAAGAGUUCGUAGGCGGCUUGCCAAGUAGGGUGUGAAAGCCCUCGGCUCAACCGAGGAAUUGCGCUCUAAACUGUCGUGCUAGAGGAACCUAGAGGUGAGCAGAACUGAUGGUGGAGCGGUGAAAUGCGUUGAUAUCAUCAGGAAUACCGGAGGCGAAGGCGGCUCACUGGGGGUUUUCUGACGCUGAGGAACGAAAGCCAGGGUAGCGAACGGG
rnacentral:rRNA from 1 species